GAGUUAAAAAAUGUUUUUUUCUGAAUGCGCUUAUGGCGCUCUUAAUAAUUAUAUUUUGUAAUCCGCAGAUCACAAACGACUGCUUAAUGAACCAUCAUCUCUGGAACUUGACAGUCGUAAUAAAGUGCAGGUGGAGCACGAUCUGGUGAAGACAAAUAAUGAAUUAUCAACGCAAGAUGCUCCUGCUCCUGUAUAGAAACAACAUGGUCAGGACACAAACUGAAAAAACUCACCCCAGAAUUGUAAGAAAUAACUAUGCGCAGCUCACUAAAUUGGACUGCACACUGCCAUUUCAUACCGAAAGAUUCUUCCAAAAUCCAACACUUGAAAAUCAAAUUUGAUGACUUUGGACGACGCCGGAUAAACCGCUCAUUUGGUACGAUCACUCUAUUCAAUCGUUGGAUUGGAUCCGAUUUUGAAAUCGGUUUCAAAAUAAAAUCCGAAAACUUUUUACGUGAAAAAGGCCGCCGUACAGCUGGAUCAAAAUUAAUUUAUAAGAGUUCCGGUCGCUUUUCCGCUGAUUAGUUAUUGAACUGAAUUUCUGAAGCAACAAGGAAAAACAUCAACGGCAAUUGCAGUUCAGAAUACACGGACAUCCAUUAUCAUCGUUUACGGCCGCAUCCGGAUUGACUCUACGAAUUGAGAUUCUACUAAUAAAAACCUUUCAAACAGUUUGCAGUUUAGGUUAAGACGUCGCCUCGCUUCCAGAUGCGUCUACAAGCGUUUUUAAAUACGCAUCCUUCUAAGGAAAUUCAAAUACGCGAAUAAUAUUAAUGCUAUUCGUGUUUCGAAUUUCGACAAAAAAUCAAUGAGCGCCACCAAAGCAACACCAUCAAAACCGCAUAGUUUGCCUUAUCUUUUAAAAAUGGAAAAACUCAAAUCUGCAAUCGAUUGCAAUAUCAUUUUAAAUCCAUGCACUGCUUACGGAAGGUGCCACCACAUUACCAUAUUCUUUGAACAAUUCGAGAAGAAAAAAUGCAACA